rnacentral:rRNA from 1 species
CGAGGGUGAGUAAUGUCUGGGAAACUGCCUGAUGGAGGGGGAUAACUACUGGAAACGGUAGCUAAUACCGCAUAACGUCGCAAGACCAAAGAGGGGGACCUUCGGGCCUCUUGCCAUCGGAUGUGCCCAGAUGGGAUUAGCUAGUAGGUGGGGUAACGGCUCACCUAGGCGACGAUCCCUAGCUGGUCUGAGAGGAUGACCAGCCACACUGGAACUGAGACACGGUCCAG